UGACCCGUUUUGAAGCACGGACCAAGGAGUGCAACAUGCGUGCGAGUCUCUGGGUUGUGAAACCCGUGGGCGGAAUGAGAGUGAAGGCGGGCUCGUCCCGUUGAGGCGAGAGCGGCCUCUUCUUUGGCGGCUCAUCGUCGACCGAUCCCAGGCUACGCUGUGGCGGGAUUCGAGUGAGAGCGUGCCUGUUGCGACCCGAAAGAUGGUGAACUAUGCCUGAAUGGGGCGAAGCCAGAGGAAACUCUGGUGGAAGCCCGCAGCGGUUCUGACGUGCAAAUCGAUCGUCAAAUUUGGGUAUAGGGGCGAAAGACUAAUCGAACCAUCUAGUAGCUGGUUCCCUCCGAAGUUUCCCUCAGGAUAGCUGGAGCCCGGUGCAGUUUUAUCAGGUAAAGCGAAUGAUUAGAGGUCUUGGGGUUGAAACAACCUCAACCUAUUCUCAAACUUUAAAUGGGUAAGAAGCUCGGCUUGCUCGAUUGAAGCCGGGCCAGGAAUGCCGGGGCUCCUAGUGGGCCAUUUUUGGUAAGCAGAACUGGCGCUGUGG
rnacentral:rRNA from 1 species